UACGGAAAAGUAAGAGGUGGGAUUAUAGGUGACAAGGAUUAAAAAGGCUAAUACAAAUGAGCGAUAACCCUUAGGUUAUCGCCUUCUUAUUUUGAGUUGUUAUUGGGAUUUUGUCCCUCUUACCGCGCUCGAGGGAGCGCUUGUCCUUCGGUGUCGAGGACACCGGAGUUUUUGUGUCGACCUCCAUCGCUCUCUCUGAGGCGCUGGAGGACCGAGAGUUAGGCGCCGAGACACGUGCCUCGGGCCUUGGGGUUCGUUUGAUUUUAGGGCCCUGCGGGGCUGGUGUCUGCAGGGCCGUCGAAGAGGGUGGAGCAGUACUGACUGCUUCCACCAUGGGGGCGGGAGGAGUCACUGCGGCACCACUGCGCGUGGGCUCGGAGGACUCCGGAGGCCUCUGUGACGCUGCCCCCGCCUGCGUCACUUCGGCAUAACUUCUUCGGGGAAGCAAGGGCAGGACCGCGAAUAAGCUGGGUGAUCUCCCUUGCAGUUAACACAAUGUGGCGAAGAAGUGCAAUUCUCAGAUUGGUGUUCGUUGGAGCUGCAUUUAGCACAAGUUGCUUGUCCUCGGCAUGCAUGUGAAGCAUGUCCAAAUCUUUGGCACUUAAAACACCGUCUGGGAUUCGGGAUAUACGGUCUCACAUUGACUUUGACAUAACCUGCAUCGAGUGAAGUAGGCAUUACGCUUGUUCCGAAGGAGUUCCUCGUCGCUUAAACCAAUGAAGUCUUCUUCAGAUAUUACUCCCCUGCUUGUAUUAAGUGUUCUGUGGGCUGAAACAGUAACUGUCGCGUCGCCAAUACUGGUAAGUUCAGAGAUCUUAUCUGCUUGAUCUUUGUUAUUCAGUUCUAGGAGGAGGUCCCCGCUAGACAUUUUGGAUGCUUUGUAUGUUGGUCCGAUUUUGUCUUUCAGACACUUCGCUACCAGGAAAGGAGAGAGUUUCCUUACCGGAGUGUUGCUUUCACUAUGCACUACAUAGUACUUUGGAAAUGUUGGGGCGUUGCUUUGAAAGGAAAAUUGAAAUGGUACUUCGGUGCGGCAUCUCUUCAGACGCCGAUCAUAAACAACAGAGGCUUGCGCUGCCAUAGGAAAAUGUGUAUGUUCGGCAACAGCGCCGACCGCCCACCACGGAGCCCAACGAGGGGACGCGGCACAGCUUGUGUACAAGCCUGCACGACGCCAGCCGUACGCCAUCACUAUAACCCAAUAUGGUGUACCCAAGGUAGGAUAUC